GAUGAACGCUGGCGGUAUGCUUAACACAUGCAAGUCGAACGGAACUCUACGGAGUUUAGUGGCGGACGGGUGAGUAAAGCGUGAGAAUCUGGCCUUAGGUUCGGGACAACCACGGGAAACGGUGGCUAAAACCGGAUAUGCCUGCGGGUGAAAAAGCAAUUGCCUGAGGAUGAGCUCGCGUCUGAUUAGCUAGUUGGUAGGGUAAGAGCCUACCAAGGCGACGAUCAGUAGCUGGUCUGAGAGGACGAUCAGCCACACUGGGACUGAGACACGGCCC
rnacentral:rRNA from 1 species